rnacentral:rRNA from 1 species
GGAGGGUGCAAGCGUUAAUCGGAGUUACUGGGCGUAAAGCGCACGCAGGCGGUUCUGUUAAGUCAGAUGUGAAAUCCCCGGGCUUAACCUGGGAACUGCAUUUGAACUGCAGGCUUGAGUCUUGUAGAGGGGUAGAAUUCCAGGUGUAGCGGUGAAAUGCGUAGAGAUCUGGAGGAAUACCGGUGGCGAAGGCGGCCCCCUGGACAAAGACUGACGCUCAGGUGCGAAAGCGUGGGAGCAAACAGGAUUAGAUACCCUGGUAGUCCACGCCGUAAACGAUGUCGACUUGGAGGUUGGUUCCCCUUGAGGAGUGGCUUCCGGAGCUAACGCGUUAAGUCGACGCCUGGGGAGUACGGCCGCAAGGUUA